UCACACACACAUACACACGUGAGCGUGACACGGGUCUAGGGGUUCGCGUGUCGGGUGGGAGGAGGCUGAGGCUCCUCGUGACGUGUGCGUGGACGGAGGAGGAGAGAAAAAGAAAGGAAGGAGGAAGGGAAGGAGGAGGAGGAGAAGAAGAAAGGAGGGUGCUUUUUUUGCAAGGCUGCCUCUGCUUCGUUUUGGAAAAGGAAGGAAAAAGGGACAAUAAUCCAAAUCAAAGGGAGUGGGGGCAUGAAGCAGCCGCCUCGUCGCCCGUGAAAAAGGAAGGAAGGAAGGAAGGAAGGAAGGAAGGAAGGAAGGAAGGAAGGAAGGAAGGAAGGAAGGAAGGAAAGGAGGAAAAGGAAGAGGAGGAAGAGGGCUUGCUCUGCUCGCCUCGUCGCCCUUCCCAGCCAUGGGCGACAAAGGCACCCGCUGCAACAUGACAGCAGCCUACAAAUACAG
rnacentral:lncRNA from 11 species